GAGUUUGAUCUUGGCUCAGGAUGAACGCUGGCGGAGUGCCUAAUACAUGCAAGUCGAGCGGCAGCACGAGUAGUUUACUACUUGGUGGCGAGCGGCGGACGGCUGAGUAACGCGUGGGAACGUGCCCCAAAGUGAGGAAUAAGCUCCAGAAAUGGAGUCUAAUGCCGCAUAUGAUCUUCGGAUUAAAGUAUUUAUACGCUUUGGGAGCGGCCCGCGUCCGAUUAGAUAGUUGGUGAGGUAAAGGCUCACCAAGUCUACGAUCGGUAACUGGUCUGAGAGGAUGAUCAGUCAGACUGGAACUGAGACACGGUCCAGACUCCUACGGGAGGCAGCAGUAAGGAAUCUUCCGACAAUGGACGAAAGUCUGAUGGAGCAACUCCGCGUGCAGGAUGAAAGGCCCUCGGGUCGUAAACUGCUUUUAUGAGUGAAGAAUAUGACGGUAACUCAUGAAUAAGGGUCGGCUAAC
rnacentral:rRNA from 1 species